CAAUAGCGUAUAUUAAAGUUGUUGCGGUUAAAAAGCUCGUAGUUGGAUUUCUGCCGAGGACGACCGGUCCGCCCUCUGGGUGAGCAUCUGGCUCGGCCUGGGCAUCUUCUUGGAGAACGUAUCUGCACUUGACUGUGUGGUGCGGUAUUCAGGACUUUUACUUUGAGGAAAUUAGAGUGUUUCAAGCAGGCACACGCCUUGAAUACAUUAGCAUGGAAUAAUAAGAUAGGACCUCGGUUCUAUUUUGUUGGUUUCUAGAUCUGAGGUAAUGAUUAAUAGGGAUAGUUGGGGGCAUUCGUAUUUAACUGUCGGAGGUGAAAUUCUUGGAUUUGUUAAAGACGGACUACUGCGAAAGCAUUUGCCAAGGAUGUUUUCAUUGA
rnacentral:rRNA from 1 species